rnacentral:rRNA from 1 species
AAAUUGAAGAGUUUGAUCAUGGCUCAGAUUGAACGCUGGCGGCAGGCCUAACACAUGCAAGUCGAACGGUAACAGGAAGCAGCUUGCUGCUUCGCUGACGAGUGGCGGACGGGUGAGUAAUGUCUGGGAAACUGCCUGAUGGAGGGGGAUAACUACUGGAAACGGUGGCUAAUACCGCAUAACGUCGCAAGACCAAAGAGGGGGACCUUCGGGCCUCUUGCCAUCAGAUGUGCCCAGAUGGGAUUAGCUUGUUGGUGAGGUAACGGCUCACCAAGGCGACGAUCCCUAGCUGGUCUGAGAGGAUGACCAGCCACACUGGAACUGAGACACGGUCCAGACUCCUACGGGAGGCAGCAGUGGGGAAUAUUGCACAAUGGGCGCAAGCCUGAUGCAGCCAUGCCGCGUGUAUGAAGAAGGCCUUCGGGUUGUAAAGUACUUUCAGCGGGGAGGAAGGUGUUGUGGUUAAUAACCGCAGCAAUUGACGUUACCCGCAGAAGAAGCACCGGCUAACUCCGUGCCAGCAGCCGCGGUAAUACGGAGGGUGCAAGCGUUAAUCGGAAUUACUGGGCGUAAAGCGCACGCAGGCGGUCUG